CCUAGCGGCAGGGAACAGGCAGAGGCUGCGCGGCGGGAUUCCGGGGCGGCCGAGGGCGAGGAGCCCCCACCUCUCACCUCCUUCACCUCGCCGCUGCCUCCGGGACGCUCGCAGCGGCCCCCUCUCUCACCUUCCGCAUCCCCUCGAACCCCCUCUCUUAAUGCAUUCAAAACACGGCUCGGAGAAACACACCCGUGGGAACCCUGCAGUGGCGCCCGUCGCCGUAGUCCGCAAGGUCAAGUCCACUUCCACCACCACCACAUACACCAGGUUCUGAAGAAUCUGCAGGAAACAGUUUGCAAACCACUGCUCUAAGCCCUACCUGUGAGGAGCAGCAGAGCCCGUUGGGUCUCCUGACCGACCAGCACAAUCUGCUUGAAGUUCAUGGAGUGGUGGAAGGUCAUCUUGAAGACCCGCUGCCCACUGGACUGCAGGUAGACCUCCACACAGUCGCAGGCCCGGCUGCCGGUUGUCCCCGUCACUCCCAGCUGCUCCCGAGUGGCCAACACAUAGAGGGCCGGACCCCAGAUCCCUGCUCUCGAAGGCGAGGACUGAGCCGGUGACAGAUGCGUCUCCAUACGCCCUCGGCAUCGCACACUUUGUGGAAGUAGUGGCAGGUCUGGCCGAGAGCCACUACAUCUCUGACCGGGAGGAAUGAGAUGAUAUGCUCCACCUGCGGGGGCGGGAGGGGGAAAGCAGGGGUCAUGGGGGCCUGGCCCCCAGUCCUUUAUUCUUAACACCAACUCUUGCCAAGGACUCACCAGCUCUGGGGGAAACAGCUGCACAGAAAUAGGGUUUCCUCUCCCCUUCUUCUCUUCACCCCUAGGCUCUGGGCCACACGAAGGGCAGCUGCGCUUCACCUACCCAAGAAGGGGGCGCAUAGGGGUUCCAUAAGGGUCAUGCCUCUUUCUCCCUUCUGUUAACUACUGUCGCAGGGGCUCAUAGCUCUAACUUCUGGCUCUGUGCUGUCACAUCCUCCCAUCUUUCUCUCUAGGUCCAUGGGUUACCCCUCCCUGUCUGCCUUGUUCUUUGUCCAACUCCUUCAAAUGAUCCCUCCCCUGAUCUCUUGCUGCCAUCCCUUGCCUUGCCGUCCCCACCCCUCACCCUGAGACCCUCCUCCCGUCCGCACAGCCCGGUGAAUUUUUGCAGCUUCCGUCUCCGGCUUCUCCUCACCAUCCUGACUGCCCCCUCCCUGCUCCAGCCCUCAUCUCUCCGGGCCCCUUGGCCCCUCGUACUCAGCUCCCUGGCCCCCGUCCCAGCUGCCUUUCCCACACCAUGUUCCCUGCCUGGGCUUGGGGGACCUCUGGGGCCCCUCUGCCUCCUAGGCCCCUCCCCCAUGGAGUCUGGGGUAGACAAACCUCUGUGACCUCACUGCCCAGCCACUGUGACCUAUUUUCCCCAACCUUGCCCCGGAUUUUCUCUCUCAGCUCCUUGGCUCUACCUCAGUUCUAGCCACCCAGUGGCUUGUGGGAUAUGCAUGACAGGAGAAAUAAAGUGUGAACAACUUGGUA